AGUGAACGCUGGCGGUAGACCUAACACAUGCAAGUCGAACGGCAGCACAGUAAGAGCUUGCUCUUACGGGUGGCGAGUGGCGGACGGGUGAGGAAUACAUCGGAAUCUACUUUUUCGUGGGGGAUAACGUAGGUAAACUUACGCUAAUACCGCAUACGACCUACGGGUGAAAGCAGGGGAUCUUCGGACCUUGCGCGAUUGAAUGAGCCGAUGUCGGAUUAGCUAGUUGGCGGGGUAAAGGCCCACCAAGGCGACGAUCCGUAGCUGGUCUGAGAGGAUGAUCAGCCACACUGGAACUGAGACACGGUCCAGACUCCUACGGGAGGCAGCAGUGGGGAAUAUUGGACAAUGGGCGCAAGCAUGAUCCAGCCAUACCGCGUGGGUGAAGAAGGCCUUCGGGUUGUAAAGCCCUUUUGUUGGGAAAGAAAAGCAGCAGGUUAAUACCCCGCUGUUCUGACGGUACCCAAAGAAUAAGCACCGGCUAACUUCGUG
rnacentral:rRNA from 1 species